UUUGUUUGUUUUUUUGGGGUUUUUUGGGUUUUUUUAUGUCCUGGGGACAGACCACGUAGUGGACUUUACCAAAUAAAGCUGGAAGACACUCUUAAUUCUUGAAGAACGGUGUUGCUUUAAAGAUAGUUUUUUGAGUUCACAUCAAUCAAGACAUCACUUUCUUUCAAAUUUUUCCAGAACCAAGAAGAAAGAUAAGAGAAAGAAAUUUACAUGCUCCAUAGUCAUUCAUCCCAGAGGAUGGAAAGAUGAAAUUAAUAUCUUAAAAACACUACAUACAAAGCAGGUGGAUGAAGAAUUGUAGUCCCUUGAACUGACAAAAAAGGGUAUUUCUGUCUGAUAUGAAGAAGACACGAAGCAGCAACUGAAGAGAGCCUUCCUAAUUUCAUCUUUGACAGAAAAUAUAAUUCUGAACUUUAUAAACACCAGGGUUGUGACAUGUGGGUGGACAAAGACAAGAUAAAAUUAUCUGACAACAAAUGCUUUUGGAGGGCAUAAAAGUGGCAUUUGGCCAUGCAGAUGAUGGACCCCUGUGAUGUAUGUUGUGAUCUAAUUUGUGUUCGUUCCAAGCAGUACAUCACUAACACUGGAUCCAGUAGGCCUUCCAAAACAGUGGCAGCUACAAGCACAAUUUCUCAGUGUUCUUCCAGUGAGCUAAGCUGUCUCAGAUUUUAAGGAGAUCUUUGUUGGUCAAUACAAUUUAUUUUGCUUUCCCAAAUGUUAAAGCAACAAUGUAGUGUGUUCCGCUGAUACAAUUAAUUUCAAAUAGUCUAUUAUAUAAAGAAUAACACAGAGCAAUAGCAUUCCUAAGCAUGGAAGGAACUUUGCUUUUUUACUUACAAAAUUAUAAAUUGUACCAACUUUUAAUUAAAGCUCAAAAGAGUGUGGAAAUAUUCAAAAUUCAAAAUCCUUACCAUUAAAAAUUAGUAUUCCCAUUCUUAUUAUUACCGAAAAAAGAGUAUGCUCUCUCAAAGAGAGCAUUUUCAAAGAGUAGUCUUAUUUUCAUGAUUUUUAGAAAUCACACCUUUUCUCUUUGAUUUUAUUUUAAUUGCAUUUUUCAAGAUCUAGACAACCUCUUUUGUCACUCCAGUGAAUUCCUUCCUCUUUUGAAGGAAACGUGAAGAUUUCCUUUUCUUCAAAACAGGAAAUUGUAUGCCAUUGUAACAAAAACUUGGUUUGAAUCCUCACCGAGCAUGAGAGAGUUAUUUCCCCACCAGAUGUAUUUCUAUCUUCAAACCAUGCAGUAGUGAUGUCCUCUCAGUCCCGGUGAAAGAAAUUUGAGUGACUAUAGAGGACAUUCUUCUGCACUGCUGGUGGCUUUGGCUGCUAGUCAAAUACCAUGAAGUGUUUAUUCGAAAUCUGGUUUUGCACCUUCCCCUUUUAACAACGACUUUCACCCUCUUGAACCCCAUCCAAGGAGGAGCCAUGUGGGUUCUGUCAGUCCAUCAAGCAACAGAACCAGCCCAAGUAGCUUCCAGCCUGAGCACCCCUUAUCCAUGGUGGCAAAAUCCAGUCUUUUCUGAAGUGGUCUCUGCAUAGCAACACUAGAUGGAGACUUAAGACAUAAGCACCUGGGUUUAUUUAAUUCAAGGGGGUUAAUUAUGAUGAGUUUUUCUACUUGUGGGAAGUACUUAGAUCUACAUGUAUUGUACAACAUGUUUUUAUAAUUUAAAGUUUUCUGCUUGCCAUCCAUUUUGAGUGAAGUGUUUGAAGGCAAGUGUUUUCUUCCUUCAUCUCAGCUCCAUGGCUGGCCUCCUGGAGAGGGACAGUAGGGAAUGUGGGCUGCCUCCCACAUCUGGCAGGGAUAUGGAGCAAAGGAACAAAGCAGUGAGAUACAGCUGAUCUGCCCAAAAGAGUUUGGGUUUUGUUUUUGGGUGAGCCUUUCAGGGUACAGGCCUGAUCACUGACCUUCAAAAAGAGCAGUCCAACUCCUCAGAGGCAGGGGAGGAGCUAAUCUUACCAAGUGUAAGAAGAUGGGGAGCUGUAUCCUUCCGAUAGGUUGGUGGAGAGAAGAGAUAAACUGGUGGUUUUCAUGAGUUUGGAAGGAGGUGGGAAAGGAUGUGGGAGGAUUGGUUUCUUUUUUUUUUUUUUUUGUCUUUUUGUAUGGAGAGGAAACUUGUAUUUGUCUUCUUGAGGAGGUGCAGAGGAAGGAAAGAAAUGAGUAUAUUUUUUUGGUUAUGUAUGAAGAGAUGAAGAGAACAAUUAUGCCCUGUAAGCACUGGUUGGAAUGAACAUUCAAUAAAGUAAUUCCUUUCUUGCCCUGCAGAUCCAGGGGGUGCUUAUGAGGCUGUGUUGUUGCUAGCACAUAUUUGCCUACCAUUCCAGGGCUUAGAAUUCCCUAGAGGCAGCAGCACUGCUGAGAUAGAUAUAGACAGACUGAAAGACAUCAUUUUACCAGGCUAUUCCACAUUGAAGGGUUCACCAAACCCUGCAUACAGAGAUGGUGUGGGAAGUAUCCAGUCAUAGGGAUUCUCACAGAAUCUACAAAAUUGACAUUCCAUGAAUCCUGGCAGUCCACGUAGUCAACAAGCUGAGUGCACAGUCCUUCACAACACAGCAUGUGUGCAGGUUGGUUGGGUAUGGACACUUCAUCCAAGAUUAAAAAAAAACAGCAAUGCCUGAAAUAAACACAAGUUCUCCAGCUUUGCAGAAGCUGAGGUUCUGCAGUGGGGGAGAGAGAGCUACCCACUCUGGAAGAGUAGACAGUUGACAAUGACUGAUAUUUUUUCUCUUUGGUGUAGUUGUAAGAACUGCAUAGACAUAUCCUGUGGGAAUGUGAAUCCUGUCUUUUGUUCUCUGCAAUGGAGGAGUCCACACUGGGCAAGAGCUAUCAAUAUUUUCACUGUUGCUGAAGAUUAUAUAGGGAUAUAAGCUGUGGAAAAUGGCUUUGAAGAUCUUGACUGAAAACAGACCCUUGGAUUUGCUGAAGCUCAUCUGUACUAGAUGCCUCCUGAAUAUGCAUGGCUGCCCAGAAUUCCAGUUCCUGCUGAAUGGCAGGUGCUAACUCUGAGACAGGCAUCUGGCAUGCAGAGAGCUUUUGAUUAUCUGCUGCCUGUUCCAAAUACAGACCAUAACAUGGUGCCACAGGGAAUGUUAAUCUUUAAGAUGCAAAACCUCAUAAGUGAUGAAGUUAUUGAAAAAAAAUGUAUUCCAUAUAAGUCUAGAAGCUCUUCCAAGGUAUUGAGAUGUGAUAUCUGGAGUUGGCUUAUCUGGCUCAGGCAGGCUGAGGAGAGGCCUGGGAUGCUGUCAUGAUUUCUUGAGCUGUUGCACAAGGAGCAGGCAGAGUAGCAGCCAGCAAGCAAAGCAGAACGCCAGGAGGUGGGGUGUGUUUGUAGUGUAGGCUGCACAAAGGUGACGGCUGUGCGCUAGGCUUGUUGUGAGCAACAUGCUGUGGUUAGGGACUGCGGUCAGAGCAGACAAUUGCUGAGCGUUGUGCAUCAUGCAUGACAGGCAGGGCUGUGGCAUGCAGAUAAAAACAGCGUGGGAUGGAUUUUGCACUAAAAUAAGCUCUGAGUGUGAAGAAAGCCAGCCCAGUUAGGGCUCUCUUAGUGGAGCCAGUCCGCUAGGAAAGCCCUAGCUUUGACCUGUGUGCCAAAAGCUACUCUGCGCCAGAUGGCUUGGAUGAAGAGAAUCACAAAAAAAAGGGACGUUAAAUUGGGUUCUCAUAAAUCCCCGUGAGCUGCCCCUUCAGGCCACCAGUUAUUUGCUUUUUGUUAGAGUUUCUCUGUGGAAGAAAUCUUCCUAAUUGCAGUUAUCUUCAGAAGUGGAAAAAAAAAAAUCAAGUUCUUAAAGAUUAUUUCCCCUCACAAGGUGUUCCUUCUGAGUCCCUAAAAAUCCACCUGCAGUUUCUCCCAUGGGCAGUGAAUGCCAGGCUUUUCUGCUGUUGAUGUCCUCUGUCCCUAGUCCUCAGCUCUGAGUAGCCACCUGAAGAUUCAGCCAUCAACUUUACCAAGUAUUCAUCAUCUCUGAGGCAUCAAGGGCUGAUGCUGUUUACAUGAAGGACUCUCAGUCCUCCUGGAAGAAGACUUCAUUCUUCUAUAUGAAACCCCACUUAAUCAUUUUUGCAUAUAAAUAUUUAUGUUUGUAUCUCAAUGUUAAUUUUUUUUUUCCUGUUUUAUUCCCUCUGGUAUUCUGUACCUACACUUCUCUUAA